rnacentral:rRNA from 1 species
GAUCCUGGCUCAGGAUGAACGCUAGCUACAGGCUUAACACAUGCAGGUCGAGGGGCAGCGGGGAGGAAGCUUGCUUUCUCCGCCGGCGACCGGCGCACGGGUGAGUAACGCGUAUCGAACCUGCCUCAUACUCGGGAAUAGCCUUGCGAAAGUAAGAUUAAUGCCCGAUGUUUUCAGCGGUCCGCAUGAACUGCUGAACAAAGAUUUAUCGGUAUGAGAUGGCGAUGCGUCCCA